CCCUCCCCUGCUUGUGCUUUCUCUCUGUCUCUCAAAAAUAAUAAAUAAACGUUUUUUAAAAACUUAUUUAAAACUUUCACUGGUGGAGAACUGGGAUAGGGCUCUAGUAGAAGGGAUGCAAGGUAUAAUAACUCAGUUCCUUGAAAUGUUUGGGAGAAGUAGUAAUUAUAAGGACUAUGGAAUUUAAUGGCUCUUGCUGUAUGCUACUGAAGCAUUGGAGAAAAAAAAAGCAACAAAAUAUUGAGGGCAAUUAAUUUCCAAUUCAAGAUGAAAUAUGAAAAGCCAGAGGACUUUCCUGGCAGCAUAUAAGCAGACUCUCAAAUCCUGCAGCCAGAUGGAAGCAAAAGUUGAAGAUUGGGUCCAAGACUUUAUAAAUAGUAGCACAACCCCAUAGAAGAGUGAAUUCUUAGCCAUGCCAAGUCUGUUACACCAAGGUUAGGGUCUUGAAUGGGAAGGAGUGGGACCCUGAAACUUGAGAUGGGGAUAUCUUAUCUGGGUUGAUGAACUUGAAAAUCUGGAAUCCUUGGAUUCCCUUGGCCCCUCUGGGCCUGAAGAAGUAACCCAUUCCUUCCAGCUGAAGGCCACUUAUCCUCCGCUACUUGAAGAUGAUGUCGAGGCCUUCACUCUGUUAGACAGCAUGUACUUGCUCCCCAUAAUCAACCCCCAUCUCACCUCCUGGCCAUCAGACUAAUGACUAGGGUCAAGUAACAGUAUAACCUAGCACAUUCCAUAACUACUCAGGGAAGGAAUGGACUAUAGCUAAAGAAGCUGCAGGGUCUAGCCAACAUAUAUUGGCAGGAGCUGGGAGAAUGUAAGUGGGACUGGAUCUAAGGAUGUUAGAUUAAUGGAGGCAAGGUAUAAACAUUGGCUAAAGAAGAAUUUAUGGUUAUGAGAGCAAUCUCUAUAGCAGGAUUUAAUACUCUGGGGAAUAGUGUUAAUUUGCUGCAGGAAUGGUUUUUUGAGGAAGCUUUGAAAAAUAGAAAAUAGAAAAUUUCUAUUCUGAAAUAGAAAAUUCAGAACUGCUUUGGAAGCAGUAGAGGAUUAAAAGGCUCAGAGAAAUGUGUAUUCUAAGGUGGAUAUAUUAUAUAAGUCUGAAAAACCCAUUUGUUUACCAUGUUCUGCAGAAGAAUCCAGAUGAUAUCUCAUUUACUAAAGUGAUAAGGAAUGUGCUGGUAAAAGGCGCACCAGAAUCAUUGAGAAACUUCAUGGUGACUAUCUUAUGCAGGCCAGGGUUUCAGCUCUAAGCUCCAUCAUUAUAAGACUGAACCACCUGAGAACCAUGGGGAUAAUAGGAUCCUAAAGUCACGGAGCCUGAGUGGUAGGACUAAAACCAUCAGGAGCAAAGUGGGGACAAUUAUCAUAAGAAAAAAGGGUGGAGUUAUGAAGGAGUUAGGAAGAUGUGUGUCUAGGGGUGCCAGUCUGGCUGAGUCAGAAGAGUGUUUGACUCUUGAUCUUGGGGUCAUGAGUUUGAGCCCCACGUUGGGUGUAGAGAAUACUUAAGUAAAUAAAACUUAAUAAACAAACAAACAAACAAACAAACCUCUUCCCCCAAAGAGAUGUGUGUCUAGGAGCAAGAUGAAUGGACAACGAAUAGGAGUUUUGAAUAUUGCUCAAUCUGUAAAAUAAGAAAUCAAGAAUGGAUGAUCAGGAGGCUGAGAGCAGCCACCCCCCAAAAAAGUCAUGAUUCCUUGCCCGGUUUCCAUAUCAGAGUCAGCUUUCAGAUCCAGAGCUCAGUGGGUGAAGUCUGCUAAAGUCCUUGCCAGAGGAGAUUAAUAUGGUCUCAAGUACAGACUUCUGAUAUGAUGAAUGCAUUCUUUUCCAUCCUGGUAAGAAAAGAAAAUAAAGAAGCAGUUUGUAUUCCUGUGGGAUGCAUACAGCAAUACACAUUUAUGUUGUUGUCCUAGGGCCAUGUUAACUUUAUCUUCAGAUGUAAUAUAGUACAAAAGGACCUGGACCACCUGGAAAUGCAGAAUGUCACAUUGGUCUAUUAUAUUUAUGGAUGACUUCAUUACACUAGAUGAGCCAGAAGGCGCAAAUAUAUUGGUGAACUUGGAAAGACACCUGUGCUCCAGUCAGUGGGAGAUAAGCCCUUUGAAGAUUCAAUGGCCAAAACAUCAGUUUUUAGAGAUCCAGUGGUCUGGGUAGGUCAGGACAUUUUCCUCUAAAGUAAAGGUCAACUUAUUGUAAUUAUGUUAGGUAGGAGUUAGAAUAUAGAGCAAUGGAAGGAAUGCCCUGAGGCAGAGUCCCAAGUCCUUGAAGAGGAAUGAUAGAGACAAGCGCUGGAGGCAAGGAAGGUAAUUAAAAAAAAAAAAAAGUUACACAUUAUAAGCCCUGGAGCUCAACAUCCUGACCUUGUGGCUUCCAAGACUUUGGGCCUCACAGAUAAAGAGGCACAGGUGCAGAACAUGCACUCGUCUCUUCCACUUUUGCCCUAGGGUAACCCCUAGGCUCAUUAUAAUGCAUUUGCCUUGUGGGCACAGGCUCCCCACCCCACCGAGCCCCGCCCUUUUACCCAGGCGCCAUUACAGUUCUGGCACAAACCUUGUAUGGUCAAAAACUCCCCCUCCCAACCUGUGAGAUGAGUGUCCCAAAUGAUUGGAAACAGACUCCAUUAGAGACCACCCCACUGUACCUCACAGUUCCUCCCAACCCAGAAAGACCCGAUAAUAUCCAAUGCCAAAACAACCUAGGGUCUGUCCACUCUCCCUCCUUGCGAGUGUACUUUUGCUUUAAUAAAUUGCAUCUGCUUGCUACUUUCCUUCUGACCUUCUUUAUUCUGGGCAUGGAUCCCCAUGAAAAUCCUCUCAUGGGGAGUCCCAGGACUGAGACUUCUACUCACACAAUGUAGACACACUCUCACCCCUGACAAUUGUACCUCCCACCACUAAGAAGGAAGCACAACACCCCAUAGAUUUCUCUGGGUUCUGGAGACAGCAUAUUCCACAUUCCAGCCCAUUUACUGAGUAACAUGGAAGACUUCCUGGAGUUGAUGGAAUAAACAGCACCGUUGCCUGGAACUUACAAGACCUUAUGAUGUUGGAGAGCGGGUCAGUUUGAGCUGGCAGACAGUUAUGGCCAGAGCCGUUUGAGCCGGCAUGAUUUCCCAGAGCCCAGCUGAGCUGGCAGAAGUGUCUGCCCCCAGCCAAGCCUCUAGACUCUCAGACCACAAAUCCCCAGGUGGAAAACCUCAGCAGGAUUCCACGAAAAUUGGUGGUGGUGUGCAGAGGACCAGCUUAUGGCCAGGACGCAGUUCUACUGAUACAUUAAGGUUUUCCAAGGAGUUUACUUGGGCAGACCUGGGGACAGGAGGCUCUGCAUCUAAAAGAAGGUGUUGGGUCUGUUGGUGGUGAAGGGUGACUUGUGCUGACAAUGUAGGACCUGGUGGGGUAGCAGGAAUUUGAUCUUAGAGUCAUUGAUCUUAGACUGCUUGACUGCCAGUCAGUGGCACAUGCUGGCAGCAAUCUCCUCCAUCUUCAUGAUCUGGAUCAAGAGGGCCCAGGCAGGAGCGGUGCCACGCACCCAUGUCUUGCCAGCACUGGGUGGUAGGGGCAGUGGUCAAGCCCUGGUACUUCCGGUACAUGUUGUGUGCCACUGUGGGAGUCAUAGUGCAGCCAGAUGCCAAAGUUCUUCACCCGCAAGGGGGAUUUCUCACACACCCUGAAGACUUCAUCUUCUUCAGCUAAGGUACAAAGUGAUGAUGGAUAAAAGCAGAAAAAUGUUCACCUUUAGCCUAGAAGGCUGAUCUACAGCAUGCUUGGUUUUGACAAGGAUCAAGUAAGUGCUGGUUGUUACAUUCUUAAAGGGUCUCACGACUGUCUAUAUAUCUCAUCAAUAGUUAACAUCAAACCGAAUUAUAAGCACCAGAGAAUUCUUGUGAAAGUGGUUUUACAAGUAGAAAUACGAAGAUAUUAAUGAUCUAAUACUUCCUGCACGUCUCCUCCCCCUUGAGCACUAAGCACGUAACCACCAGCUUCAUGCAGCAGAAUGCUGCUUUUUCUGCCCAUGGGUCCUGUCCCCUUGCUACUUACUAAGUAAACUUACUAAGUGGCACCGUAAAAUUUCUCAAGAAUUCUUUCUUGACCGUCACGCUUAACAAUCCUGCAAUAAAAGUACCAGAAGCGGAACGUGGUGACAAGCGGACUAGGUGCAAAGAUUUGCAUGCGAUAGAGUGUGGAGUUCUGCACUUGGGGGUGGAUGGGCAGUGCCCCACCACCUUGCACCCUCGCGGUGUGCCUGAGGUCUUCAUGGCACACUCUCUGCUCUUGCCACCACCCACGAAAGGCCAUAAAUACACUUUUAAAAAGCUUUACCUAUCUAGACCAAUAACCUUAACUUAUUUCAUCCACCAAAAUAACCAAACAAACAAACCUAAAAAAAAAAAAAAAAAAUUCAGGUCCAACCUUUAUAAACUAGUAAAUUUUGUACCUGUUUCAUGGCAGAAUUUUCAAACAGAAGCUAUAAGGUCAAAGUCUAUGUCUAUCUUAUCUAUUCACAUGUGUCCAUGGAUGUGUUGUAACUGAGUUUCUACUUCUGGAUGGUAUUGCUAAAAUUAACUUAUAAAUGGGCUAUAUUUAGUUGGUCUAAAGACACAUGCUUGUAAGGAUUGGGUUUGUAAUGCUUUUCAAGUCCAUGUGAUCUAAAAAAAAUUUUUUGAUAUAAAAAUUAGUUUGGGAUUGAUGGUUUAAUUAAGAUAAGCAUGUCCUUAGAGUUAUCAAGAUUAAAUAUAAAACUUUUAUCUACAUGAGUUUACUAACCAAAUAAUUUUGUUAUCUCUUAUAAUAUCUAUCAACGAGAAAGUAGUGGCUUAAAAUAAUGACUGACUUUGUCUAAUAUUUCAUAAAGUUUUUGUAAGUAAGUAAUCUAAAUAUAAUUGUUAAAAAAAAAAGUUUUAGGUAAGGGGUCAAUGGCCCUCCCAACAGUAGUUUCCCUGAUUUUUUUUGUAACUUAUAAUCUUAAAAGUUUUGCUAAGUUAAAUAAUGAGUUAAGUUAAAUUCAUUAAACAUCUAGAUUAUUUCCAAAUAAGACAAAAUACUAGACACUAAUUACUAGACAUAGGUUUAUCUACUUUUGGCUUCUUAUUAAAGAGAAACUAAACUUGUUUGGAUAUGUUAAUGUUACAUUAAAAUAAAUUAUGUUUAAUAAUUUAA